rnacentral:rRNA from 1 species
UACAGAGGUCUCAAGCGUUGUUCGGAUUCAUUGGGCGUAAAGGGUGCGUAGGUGCGCGGUAAGUCGGGUGUGAAAUUCGUGACUUAACUCCGAAACUGCAUUCGAUACUGCCGUGCUUGAGGACUGGAGAGGAGACUGGAAUUUAUGGUGUAGCGUGAAAUGCGUAGAGAUCAUAGGAAGACCAGUGGCGAAGGCGGGUCUCUGGACAGUUCCUGACGCUGAGGCACGAAGGCCAGGGGAGCAAACGGG